CCUACGGGCGGCUGCAGUGGGGAAGAGUGCGCAAUGGGGGAAACCCUGAAGCAGCAAAGCCGCGGGAGUGAAGAAGGAUCACGGGAUGUAAAGCUCUAUCAGCAGGGAAGAAAAUGACGGUACCUGAGGAAGAAGCAACGGCGAACUACGGGACAGCAGCCGCGGGAAUACGUAGGGGGCAAGCGGUAACCGGAUUUACUGGGUGUAAAGGGAGCGUAGACGGUGUGGCAAGUCUGAAGUGAAAGCCCGGGGCUCCACCCCGGGACUGCUGUUGAAACUGUCAUGCUGUAGUGCUGGAGAGAUAGUCGGAAUGCCUAGUGUAGCGGGGAAAUGCGUAGAUAUUAGGAGGAACACCAGUGGCGAAGGCGGCUUACUGGACCGUACCUGACGUUGAGGCUC
rnacentral:rRNA from 1 species